rnacentral:rRNA from 1 species
GUGCGGGAUGCUUACACAUGCAGUCGAACGAUGAACCUGGAGCUUGCUCUAGGGAAUUAGUGGCGAACGGGUGAGUAACACGUGAGUAACCUGCCCUUGACUCUGGGAUAACCUCCGGAAACGGAAGCUAAUACCGGAUAUGACGCACGGAGGCAUCUCCUGUGCGUGGAAAGAACUUCGGUCAAGGAUGGACUCGCGGCCUAUCAGGUAGUUGGUGAGGUAACGGCCCACCAAGCCUACGACGGGUAGCCGGCCUGAGAGGGUGACCGGCCACACUGGGACUGAGACACGGCCCAGACUCCUACGGGAGGCAGCAGUGGGGAAUAUUGCACAAUGGGCGAAAGCCUGAUGCAGCAACGCCGCGUGAGGGAUGACGGCCUUCGGGUUGUAAACCUCUUUUAGUAGGGAAGAAGCGAAAGUGACGGUACCUGCAGAAAAAGCACCGGCUAACUACGUGCCAGCAGCCGCGGUAAUACGUAGGGUGCGAGCGUUGUCCGGAAUUAUUGGGCGUAAAGAGCUCGUAGGCGGUCUGUCGCGUCUGCUGUGAAAACCCGAGGCUCAACCUCGGGCUUGCAGUGGGUACGGGCAGACUAGAGUGCGGUAGGGGAGAAUGGAAUUCCUGGUGUAGCGGUGGAAUGCGCAGAUAUCAGGAGGAACACCGAUGGCGAAGGCAGUUCUCUGGGCCGUAACUGACGCUGAGGAGCGAAAGCGUGGGGAGCGAACAGGAUUAGAUACCCUGGUAGUCCACGCCGUAAACGUUGGGCGCUAGAUGUGGGGACCAUUCCACCGUGUCCGUGUCGCAGCUAACGCAUUAAGCGCCCCGCCUGGGGAGUACGGCCGCAAGGGUAAAACUCAAAGGAAUAGACAG